UACGAAGGUGGCAAGCGUUGUUCGGAUUUACUGGGCGUACAGGGAGCGUAGGCGGGUCUUUAAGUCAGGGGUGAAAUCCUGGAGCUCAACUCCAGAACUGCCUUUGAUACUGAGGAUCUUGAGUCCGGGAGAGGUGAGUGGAACUGCGAGUGUAGAGGUGAAAUUCGUAGAUAUUCGCAAGAACACCAGUGGCGAAGGCGGCUCACUGGCCCGGUACUGACGCUGAGGCACGAAAGCGUGGGGAGCAAACAGG
rnacentral:rRNA from 1 species